UACGUAGGGGGCAAGCGUUGUCCGGAUUCAUUGGGCGUAAAGAGCUCGUAGGCGGUUUGUCGCGUCUGCUGUGAAAACUGGAGGCUCAACCUCCAGCCUGCAGUGGGUACGGGCAGGCUAGAGGCUGGUAGGGGCAAGCGGAAUUCCCGGUGUAGAGGUGAAAUUCGUAGAUAUCGGGAGGAACACCGGUGGCGAAGGCGGCGAUCUGGGUCGAUACUGACGCUGAGGUGCGAAAGCGUGGGGGAGCAAACAGG
rnacentral:rRNA from 1 species